GGUUUCGUAGCUCAGCUGGUAGAGCAUUUGCCACGUUGAGGCAUUUUGUUUUUUGUUGCUGGUUCGGAUCCAGCCGGAACCC